UACGAAGGGGGCUAGCGUUGCUCGGAAUCACUGGGCGUAAAGGGUGCGUAGGCGGGUCUUUUAAGUCAGGGGUGAAAUCCUGGAGCUCAACUCCAGAACUGCCUUUGAUACUGAAGAUCUUGAGUUCGGGAGAGGUGAGUGGAACUGCGAGUGUAGAGGUGAAAUUCGUAGAUAUUCGCAAGAACACCAGUGGCGAAGGCGGCUCACUGGCCCGGUACUGACGCUGAGGUGCGAAAGCGUGGGGAGCAAACAGGG
rnacentral:rRNA from 1 species